AUUGAACGCUGGCGGCAGGCCUAACACAUGCAAGUCGAGCGGAGCGGCGGACGGGUGAGUAAUGCCAAGGAAUCGGCCUGGUAGUGGGGGAUAACGUCCGGAAACGGGCGCUAAUACCGCAUACUAUCAGAUGAGCCUAGGUCGGAUUAGCUCGUGGGGGGGGUAAAGGCCUACCAAGGCGACGAUCCGCAACUGGUCUGAGAGGAAGAUCAGUAACACGGGAACUGGUACACGGUCCAGACUCCUACGGGGGGCAGAGGUUGGGAAUAAUGGAAAAUGGGCGACAGCCUGAUCGAGCCAAUGCUCGGGUUUUGAGGAGGGCUUUGGAUUGGAAAGGACAUUUAAUUGGGGGGCGUUACCAACAAAAUGAGCACCGGCCAACUUCGUGCCAGCAGGCGGGGUAAUUC
rnacentral:rRNA from 1 species